GGUUAAGUUAGAAAGGGCGCACGGUGGAUGCCUUGGCACUAGGAGCCGAAGAAGGACGGGACUAACACCGAUAUGCUUUGGGGAGCUGUACGUAAGCGUUGAUCCAGAGAUUUCCGAAUGGGGGAACCCACUAUCUUUAGUCGGAUAGUAUCCUUACGUGAAUACAUAGCGUGAGGAAGGCAGACCCAGGGAACUGAAACAUCUAAGUACCUGGAGGAAGAGAAAGAAAAAUCGAUUUCCUGAGUAGCGGCGAGCGAAACGGAAAGAGCCCAAACCAAGAAGCUUGCUUCUUGGGGUUGUAGGACACUCUAUACGGAGUUACAAAAGAAAGUUAUAAAUGAAGCGGUCUGGAAAGGCCCGCCAAAGACGGUAACAGCCCGGUAGUUGAAAUGGCUUUCCCUCCAGAGUGGAUCCUGAGUACGGCGGAACACGUGAAAUUCCGUCGGAAUCCGGGAGGACCAUCUCCCAAGGCUAAAUACUCCCUAGUGACCGAUAGUGAACCAGUACCGUGAGGGAAAGGUGAAAAGCACCCCGGAAGGGGAGUGAAACAGUUCCUGAAACCGUGUGCCUACAAGUAGUUAGAGCCCGUUAAUGGGUGAUAGCGUGCCUUUUGUAGAAUGAACCGGCGAGUUACGAUUUGUUGCAAGGUUAAGCGGAAAAAGCGGAGCCGUAGCGAAAGCGAGUCUGAAUAGGGCGCAUAAGUAACAGGUCGUAGACCCGAAACCAGGUGAUCUACCCAUGUCCAGGAUGAAGGUAAGGUAAU
rnacentral:rRNA from 1 species